rnacentral:rRNA from 1 species
UACGGAGGGUGCAAGCGUUAUCCGGAUUUAUUGGGUUUAAAGGGUCCGUAGGUGGAAUUGUAAGUCAGUGGUGAAAUCUUUCGGCUUAACCGGAAAACUGCCAUUGAUACUGCAGUUCUUGAAUAUGCUCGAGGUAGGCGGAAUGUGUCAUGUAGCGGUGAAAUGCAUAGAUAUGACACAGAACACCAAUAGCGAAGGCA